AUAACUAUAUCUUUUAUAUAAUAAUAUAUUUUUAAAAUAAUAAUCUUUUAUAUAGACAUGUUUUAAUAGAUCUAAUAAAUGAUUAACUCGGACCUACCAAUAUGGGUAUAUAAAUACUUAAAUCUGGGUAUUUAAAAUUUCGAAUGCGAAUUUUUAAAAAACCGAACUUAUAUAUAGAUCUAGAUCUCUUGUAUAAUAUCUAGAAUCAUAUAGAUCUACAACACCUAGACUAAAGUUAAAGACUAAGGUCUAGAUUUAUUUAACGUUUUAAAAAAAAUCAAUAGAUCUAAUAUAGACAGUCAUGAGAUCCACUCUAUUUUAUCUAGAUCUAGACCAUACAUUUAUGAUACAUGAGAUCAAUAUGAAUAUGAAUAUUUAUAGAUCUAGUCUAGACACCUAGAUCUAGAUCUAUCGAUCAUCUAGUCUGUCUAUAGUCUAUAGCUUUAGACUUAGUAUACACUUUUACAGUAUAUGAGUAUACUCAUACGAGUCAUACUGGCUAUACUAUGACUAUAGUAUAGACACUAUAGUUAGUAUAGUUAAUACUUUUUAAUAGUAGAUCUAUAAUCUAUCAAUUCUAUCUAAAUCUAGACUUCACUUUCACAUCACAUUCACACGAUUAUUGAUACAGACAAUGAAUGAAAAGAAUGCAGUGGUUAUACUUAUUAUACUUAUAGUGACGAUACUACUUAUAGAUCUACCUGUUGAUAAACAUCAUCAUCAUAGAUAAUAAUCUACAUCUAUAAUCAUAGUGCCCUUUAUUUAGUCAAUAUAGUCAAGUCAAGAUAGUGGAACGUAAACUCGAAGGUUUAAUACAAUACGUUAUUAACAAGUAGAACCAUGGCAACCAGUUCUGAUGAUGUACCAGAAUGGCUGAAGGAUCAUACUUAUACUAUUUCUACUCUCUGGGCAGACAUUAAUAAUAUUGGCAUCCAUUCAAUAUUUAAUUUAUGUUUGGAAAUGCAAGAAAAAGGCAUGCAUUCCUGAAAAGUCACUGAUUGGUUGCACCUCUUAAAGAUAACUUUCUGUUAUGAGAAAAGAUGAGAUUCUUGGACUCCUGCAUAGCACCACCAGAAAGGAAAAUUCCAUCAUGUUGCAAAAUAAAAGUCUUGGACCAAUUUUAAUUUAAGAUAUAUAUAUAUUAUACUGUAAGCUGUAUACAUAUUUAUGUAUAUCCUGUCAUUCAGCCAACAGGUUUGGAUUUAGUAUUUCUUUAAAUCUGUUUGAUAUUGUACUUGAAAACUAUUAAUCUGAGCCCCAUUAAAUCAAGAGGGAGUGCAGUGGAUGAGUGGUAAGGGAAAUUUUACUUUUUUAAAAUUAAAAAUAAGAAUCUAACAAAAGUAAACAUAUAAAAUAUGGUGCAUUCUCCUUAAAACUAAAACCUGGUGCAAAGGUUUAAAAUGUUGGCAAAAAAAAAGCAACAUCAAUUAAAUAUUCUUAAUUCCCUUACUGAGAAGAACAUGCAUGUUGUUCCUUCAUAAGUUUCUUGACAGAGGAAAUCUUGUUUAUAUUAGAUUUGAAUUAAGCAAAUUAAGAAAAAAAUUAUAAUCAUUAUUUCAAAUGGUUGUAUCUAAACCUUAUGAAUUAUUUUUCAGUUAUAAGUAUAUUGAAAUGAAUGGAUAAUCAUGAAAUUGUUAAAUAAUUGCCAUUGACUAAAGAACCAUAAUUUUUUUUUUUAAUUAAUUUCAAAAUGAUUUUUUUCAAGCAGAGUUCACAUAGAUCUUGAGUGAAAUUUUUCUUUUUUUGACUAAUGCUUCAAUUUUAUUGUAUCAUUAGUU